UACGGAGGGGGCUAGCGUUGUUCGGAAUUACUGGGCGUAAAGCGCGCGUAGGCGGCUUUGUAAGUUAGAGGUGAAAGCCCGGGGCUCAACUCCGGAAUUGCCUUUAAGACUGCAUCGCUAGAAUCGUGGAGAGGUAAGUGGAAUUCCGAGUGUAGAGGUGAAAUUCGUAGAUAUUCGGAAGAACACCAGUGGCGAAGGCGACUUACUGGACACGUAUUGACGCUGAGGUGCAAAAGCGUGGGGAGCAAACAGG
rnacentral:rRNA from 1 species